rnacentral:lncRNA from 1 species
CAAGUACCUGAGAUAUCCAUAAAGACCUCUCAGUUAAAGGGGCGCUGGGAACACUUGUGGGAACUCUGCCUCCCUAGCAUAACCAAAAACCAGGGUUUCCACCUAGGAGAACAAACAGAGAAAGAGAAGAGAGACAACACUAACUUGGCUUAUUGAUCUCACUGCAUGGAAUGAGGAGAGCCAAUGAGAGUAAAGAGAGGAAGAACGGAAAGAAGUGGGAUGAGAGACUCAACAAUAUGCUGCUGUGGAAUUAAAUCACCCCAAUGAUUAAUUUAAACUCAAUGGCUUAACCUCAUGAAGACAUCAUUUUCAAGACUCCUGGGUUGACUGGGUUCUGACAUACAGCUCUGCCCCAUGUGCUGAGGUUGCAUGUGCAACUGCAUUCAGGUAGGAACUGGGCUGGUGUAGAGUUGGGUUCUCCUCCUCCUGGGUCUCACUCUCCAUGUGACAGUGUAACCUGAACUUCUUCAUGUAUGGAGACUGUCCUUAAAU